rnacentral:rRNA from 1 species
UCUGGAAACUNUCUGACUUGAGUGCAGAAGGGGAGAGUGGAAUUCCAUGUGUAGCGGUGAAAUGCGUAGAUAUAUGGAGGAACACCAGUGGCGAAAGCGGCUCUCUGGUCUGUCACUGACGCUGAGGCUCGAAAGCGUGGGUAGCGAACAGGAUUAGAUACCCUGGUAGUCCACGCCGUAAACGAUGAGUGCUAGGUGUUAGGCCCUUUCCGGGGCUUAGUGCCGGAGCUAACGCAAUAAGCACUCCGCCUGGGGAGUACGACCGCAAGGUUGAAACUCAAAGGAAUUGACGGGGGCCCGCACAAGCGGUGGAGCAUGUGGUUUAAUUCGAAGCAACGCGAAGAACCUUACCAGGUCUUGACAUCCCGAUGCUAUUCUUAGAGAUAGGAAGUUACUUCGGUACAUCGGAGACAGGUGGUGCAUGGUUGUCGUCAGCUCGUGUCGUGAGAUGUUGGGUUAAGUCCCGCAACGAGCGCAACCCUUAUUGUUAGUUGCCAUCAUUAAGUUGGGCACUCUAGCGAGACUGCCGGUAAUAAACCGGAGGAAGGUGGGGAUGACGUCAAAUCAUCAUGCCCCUUAUGACCUGGGCUACACACGUGCUACAAUGGUCGGUACAACGAGUUGCGAGCCGGUGACGGCAAGCUAAUCUCUGAAAGCCGAUCUCAGUUCGGAUUGGAGGCUGCAACUCGCCUCCAUGAAGUCGGAAUCGCUAGUAAUCGCGGAUCAGCACGCCGCGGUGAAUACGUUCCCGGGCCUUGUACACACCGCCCGUCACACCACGAGAGUUUGUAACACCCGAAGUCGGUGAGGUAACCUUUUAGGGG